CCAACGGCCCUCUUUAGGGCCACAAGUGAUAGAUUUUGAAGAUUUUU
rfam:Angiostrongylus cantonensis strain Taiwan genome assembly, scaffold: ACAC_scaffold0003638